rnacentral:misc_RNA from 1 species
CUUUAAUUUUCCAAGCAUGCCCUUGCCAUCUUCUGCCAACGUGCUUACUUCCUCCCUCUCUCCAUUUUCUUCCUGUGAGCUUCUUCCUCUCUUAUCUGUCGCUACCGACCAUAGAACCAUUGGGACCCGGUCUUUGAUGCUUUAGCUCACUCCAACAAUCCCGUAGACUCCAGCGGCUCUUCCGACGACUGAAGACAAGUGGAGAUCCAUUCGGAUCUCGCUCAAAUCCACCAUGGCACCGCUCUGGGCAUCAGGCCAAGAAAAGUAAAUAGCGUUGUUCUAAUACCUUCCCCACAUUUCAAAUCUCAAAUCUCACUUCUUUCAGAUGGUCACUCCCUUAAAUGCCCAUUCAAAAACAAGAAUAUCAUGAUUCUUGCCACGUCCCUCUUUCCCAUUUUUUCCAUAGUUUCUUUCAUCAAAAACAUCUUCAUUAGGCUGAGUUUUUUAUGAUACUUUCACCU